rnacentral:rRNA from 1 species
GAGCGGAUGAAGGGAGCUUGCUCCCGGAUUCAGCGGCGGACGGGUGAGUAAUGCCUAGGAAUCUGCCUGGUAGUGGGGGACAACGUUUCGAAAGGAACGCUAAUACCGCAUACGUCCUACGGGAGAAAGCAGGGGACCUUCGGGCCUUGCGCUAUCAGAUGAGCCUAGGUCGGAUUAGCUAGUUGGUGAGGUAAUGGCUCACCAAGGCGACGAUCCGUAACUGGUCUGAGAGGAUGAUCAGUCACACUGGAACUGAGACACGGUCCAGACUCCUACGGGAGGCAGCGGUGGGGAAUAUUGGACAAUGGGCGAAAGCCUGAUCCAGCCAUGCCGCGUGUGUGAAGAAGGUCUUCGGAUUGUAAAGCACUUUAAGUUGGGAGGAAGGGUUGUAGAUUAAUACUCUGCAAUUUUGACGUUACCGACAGAAUAAGCACCGGCUAACUCUGUG